rnacentral:rRNA from 1 species
AUCUACGGCCAUACCACCCUGAACAUGCCCAAUCACGUCUGAUCUCGGAAGCUAAGCAGGGUUGGGCCUGGUUAGUACUUGGAUGGAAGAAUAAAUGGGUCAACCAGGAAAUUAAAGAAG